AACGAACGCUGGCGGCAGGCCUAACACAUGCAAGUCGAACGUGAAGCCAGAGCUUGCUCUGGUGGAAAGUGGCAGACGGGUGAGUAACGCGUGGGAACCUACCCAGUAGUACGGAACAACAGUUGGAAACGACUGCUAAUACCGUAUACGCCCUUCGGGGGAAAGAUUUAUCGCUAUUGGAUGGGCCCGCGUUGGAUUAGUUUGUUGGUGAGGUAACGGCUCACCAAGGCGACGAUCCAUAGCUGGUCUGAGAGGAUGAUCAGCCACACUGGGACUUAGACACGGCCCAGACUCCUACGGGAGGCAGCAGUGGGGAAUAUUGCACAAUGGGCGCAAGCCUGAUGCAGCCAUGCCGCGUGAGUGAAGAAGGCCCUAGGGUUGUAAAGCUCUUUCGGCGGGGACGAUAAUGACGGUACCCGCAGAAGAAGCCCCGGCUAACUCCGUG
rnacentral:rRNA from 1 species